GAUGAACGCUGGCGGCGUGCUUAACACAUGCAGGUCGAACGGAAAGGCCCAAGCUUGGUUGGGUGCUCGAGUGGCGAACGGGUGAGUAACACGUGGGUGAUCUGCCCUGCACUUCGGGAUAAGCCUGGGAAACUGGGGCUAAUACCGGAUAGGACCACUUCUUGCAUGGUGUGGUGGGGAGAGUUUCGGGGGUGGGGUUAGCUCGCGGGCUUUCUGCCUUUUUGUGGGGGUAUGGGCUAACCAGGGGUCGUCGGGUAGCCGGGCCGGGAGGGUGUACGGCCAACAUUGGACCGGGAUAAGGCCCCGACUCCUAAGGGGGGGAGCAGGGGGGAAUAUUGGCCAAUGGGGGCGAGCCUGAUGCAGCGACGCCGCGGGGGGGAUGACGGCCUUUGGGUUGGAAACUCCUUUCGCUAGGGACGAAGCGUUUUGUGACGGUACCUGGAGAAGAAGCACCGGCUAACUACGUG
rnacentral:rRNA from 1 species